rnacentral:lncRNA from 1 species
GGGGCGGAACGGCCGAGGCACUGAGAGUGGGGGAUGCAGCAUGAAAUCCGUCCCCUGCAGAGUCGGUGCCUUCGGGGGCUCCACCGCCGCACGCUCCGACUUGCAAGGUGCAAAUGUUAGGUUUCAGCAUCCUGAGUUCCCUGAUUCUGAGCAAAGAUUUGUGUGGCUCCUUUCCUUUAAAAAUGUAAAGAAAACCCUCCCUUCAUCGCAGAAGCCAUCGUCUCCACCUUUUGUGGAGCCUCCUGCAAAAAGCCGCAGUCUGCAAGACAGAACUGGAAAGAACUCCUCCCAUCACUCAUGGGAGAAAAUGAAGCUCUCUACUGGCCUCUAUCAGAGAAGCUAAAAAUUUCCCUUUUUCCUGCAAGUGUCCCAAACCCCAUGACUCUUAUUUCCAGGCUUUUUACAUCUCUUGGAUCUGUAUGGUGGAAGUACUAUAGAGUGCUCUGCUAUUGUGCAUCUUCUCCCAAUGCCAAGUUCAGUGACUUCCAGUUGACGGCUUGAAAGUGGACAUGGUGGCAAUAUUUACACCACAGAGGUAGGCAAAUACUGUAUAUAAGGGUUUUUCCUUUUUUGUCAAGGAGAUUGUUAAACGGUUACUAGCUCGAGUGGGUUGAAUGGUGUCCUGGCAACAGUUGUCUACAUCUUAGUCCCAGGAACUUAUGAAUAUGAUCUUAUUUGGAGUAGGACUCUACAGGUGAAAUUAAGGUUCUUGACAUGAGAUCACCCUGGAUGAUCCCAGAAGGCCCUAAAUAUAAUCACGUGUGUUCUUACUUGGAGGGAGAUGAACACAAAAGCACAGAGGAGAGACGCAGAUCUAAGGAGGAGGCAAGAUGGUCAUUGAAGCAGAGAUCUGAGUAAAGCUGCUACAAGCCAAGGAAACCUGGAGCUACCAGAAGCUGGAAGAGAUAAGAAACAGAAUCUCUACUAGAAUCUCUGAAGGGAGAACAGACCUGGUGACAUCUUGAUUUUGGAUUACUGACCUCCAGAAAUGAGAAAGUAAAUUCCUCUUUUUGUAAGCCACCCAGUCUGUGGUGAUUGCUUCUGGCUGCCACAGGAAGCUAAGGGCCCAUCCAACCACCGCAGCACUACCGCAUGGCCCGGUGAUGGGCAUGUGAGCCACGCUGAGACAACGGGAGGUCAGCUCCUAUUGCAAAAGAAAUAUACCCCUUCUACGAGAGGUUGCUAAGUGGUUCAGUCUUUGCCAGAAUAUUUGCCAAAGAAGGAGAAUAGCAUAGAAAGUGGUAAAAUUGGGAUGCAGAAACAGAAAGAAGAGAGAGAGUCAGAACCCAGAUAAUGUUAUUUGAGAAGCUGAAUCUAUUCUACUACUGAAUUUUUAAAAUUCUAUGAACAAAUUACUUUCUUUUCUUUCUAAACCAAGUUCUUAACCAGUUGUUGUUCAGUCACUCAGUUGUGUCCAGUUCUUUGUGACCCCAUGGACUGCAGCAUGCCAGGCUCCCCUGUUCCUCACUGUCUCCCAGAGCUUGGUCAAACUCAUGUCCAUUGAGUCAAUGACGUCAUCCAACCAUCUCAUCCUCUGCCGCCGCCUUCUCCUCCUGCCCUCAAUCUUUCCCAGCAUCAGGAUCUUUUCUAAUGAGUUGGCUUGACCAAUAUAGACAUGUUAAUUUUCACAGCACAGAUAGGAUUGUAAAUACAUAAAAUUACUAUCAUUUCAUUAGUUACUAUUGAAAUCAAGCAUAACUAUAUGUCAAACAGUGAACAAUCUGAGAUCUAUCUGAACAAAGCAUGCUUAUUUGUUCCACUGAUAAUUACUGAGCCAAACAUGUCUCAUUCUACUCAGGACAGAUAUCCAUCUAUGUAAGAGCUAACAAUUUAUUUGCCUGUAAGGAGUUCAGUGUAACCCACAUUAAUGAGAUUACCAGCAGGAUUAACUUUCCAUUUUAUAGUUCAUAUUUUUCCAGACAGUACUAAAUUCAUGUAAUUUCAUUAUUCUUCCUAAAGAGAAUUUGUUUAAUGCACAGCUAAAAUAUUUUAACUUGUUUAUGAGAUUACAUUUAAGUACAUUCACAGAUCAUAAAAAACUCUUUUGGAGUUUUUAGGUUGGGAAAAUGUUCUUAUAGUUAUUUCCAAAUGAUGUUGUACCUUUGGUAAUUUUGUACAUUUCAGCAAUUUUCACUUUCCAUUAUCCUUAGUAAUUUUUUAAUGUGGGCAAGCACAUUUCUGAAAGGAGCAUGCCAGAGAAAAUCCUAGGGACAGAUAUACCAUACUGAACUAUUUUUAAAGUAAAACAUUUUUAUCUUCAGCUUUUCUAUCACUAAACCAUUUUUCCAGUUCAAGAGUUUUAAAAUUAAUUCCCCACCCCCCAUAAUCCUAUCUCUUACCUCUACUUUCAAAUACCUUUGUCUUUUGAUGAGCGCAUUUUGGAUGAAUUCCCAGUCAACUUUCAAAAUUUAAUUAAACUCAGCUAAGUUUAACUCAGCUUUAACAGAUAGUUUUUUAAUAGCUGAUUAACUGGGAGCCCAUCUUUAGGAAUUCUAAGAAAAAAAGGUUGGUGAAUGUUGCAUCUUGAUAAAAGUUCUAAUACUGAUGUUACUAGCAUCAAUAAACAAAUGCCUGCUUGUGUUGAUUUAAAAAGACAAUAAACUUUCAAGUGCAAGUAUCCAAC